rnacentral:tRNA from 1 species
AAGGCUUUAGCUUAAUUAAAGUGUCUGUUUUGCAAAUAGAAGAUGUGGGUUAGUAUCCUGUAAGUCUUA